CGGCCGCGAGCGGCUGGCACCGGUGCCUCUGGUGAAAUGAACGUCAGGACUCGAACCACUCAGGGGUACAGUGGAAUCCUCCAUGCCCACGCGGAAACACCAGGAUUCUAGGAUGCCCAAAUGGGCGUGUGAGCAGAGUUUGGGACUUGUGAAGCCUCACCAGUUUGGGGUUUUCAUUCAGAGAAACCUGUUGGAAGUGAUUGAGGAGUAGGCCUGAAUUGCAACUAGAGAGGCAACAAGUGACUCCUUAAAGAUGCCACAGGGCUGCAGAAGGGGACCUUGAAGAGGUUGAUGAAGUGAGAAGAAUGUUUCUCCCAACGACGAGAAG
rnacentral:lncRNA from 1 species